rnacentral:snoRNA from 1 species
CCCCUCUCAGGGUCGCACCUGGAGAGUUUCCAGUACUCUACCAGUUUCGGCUACAGGAGGGAGAGUUAAGCAGAGGCCUACCCAUUCCAUUCCUUGCUUGGGUAGUAUCUAGCAAGUGGAAGGCAAUCUGCUGCAAUC